AGUCUCGUAGCUCAGCUGGUUAGAGCGCUACACUGAUAAUGUAGAGGUCGGCAGUUCAGGCCUGCGAGACUA
rnacentral:tRNA from 1 species